rnacentral:lncRNA from 1 species
GCUUUUCCCUAGGCUGUGUCAUCUACUGCUCAUGAUUCAGAUUUAUCUGGGCAUGUGUUUCAAAUUGAUGGUAUAAGCCUAAGAGAAAUCUGUUUAUGUGUGUGUAUCUGGACACACACAUAGGAUAAUCCACCCUGUCCAUCACAAGAAGUCUCAGUGCCCAGGUGUGAAAUAAAGGCACAAAGAAAGCCAGUUGUUUAAUGGGAAGUGUGAAUUCAAACCAGAAGAAUUUUGAAGUCUGCAUUGAUUUAUUUGGAUAGGCUGUUCCUAUCACAGUUUAUAAGCAUGCCAGGUAGCCUCAUCUAUAAUGAUGGAAGUUUGGAUUGUCAUCUGAUGGACUGACAUCAAGAGAGUUUCCCCAACAGUCUUGCCAAGUGAGGCAAGCACAAGAACAGUUUUGUGACA